GUGGAUUAGAUACCCUGGUAGUCCACGCCGUAAACGUUGGGCACUAGGUGUGGGUCUCAACCAACGAGAUCCGCGCCGUCGCUAACGCAUUAAGUGCCCCGCCUGGGGAGUACGGCCGCAAGGCUAAAACUCAAAGGAAUUGACGGGGGCCCGCACAAGCAGCGGAGCGUGUUGCUUAAUUCGAUGUUACGCGAAGAACCUUACCUGGGUUUGACAUGUAGGGAAAAGCUCUGGAGACAGGGUGUCCUAACGGGCCCUACACAGGUGGUGCACGGCCGUCGUCAGCU
rnacentral:rRNA from 1 species